GGGGAUGUAGCUCAGUUGGUAGAGUGUUUGCCUCGAAUGCACAAAGCCCUGGGUUCAAUCCCCAGCACCAUUA